AUUGAACGCUGGCGGCAGGCCUAACACAUGCAAGUCGAACGGUAACAGGAAGAAGCUUGCUUCUUUGCUGACGAGUGGCGGACGGGUGAGUAAUGUCUGGGAAACUGCCUGAUGGAGGGGGAUAACUACUGGAAACGGUAGCUAAUACCGCAUAACGUCGCAAGACCAAAGAGGGGGACCUUCGGGCCUCUUGCCAUCGGAUGUGCCCAGAUGGGAUUAGCUAGUAGGUGGGGUAACGGCUCACCUAGGCGACGAUCCCUAGCUGGUCUGAGAGGAUGACCAGCCACACUGGAACUGAGACACGGUCCAGACUCCUACGGGAGGCAGCAGUGGGGAAUAUUGCACAAUGGGUGGAAGCCUGAUGCAGCAACGCCGUGUGCGGGAUGACGGACUUCGGGUUGUAAACCGCUUUCGCUCAUGACGAAGCUUUGUGUGACGGUAGUGGGUAAAGAAGCACCGGCUAACUACGUG
rnacentral:rRNA from 1 species